rnacentral:rRNA from 1 species
GACGAACCGAGCGAACGUUGUUCGGAAUCACUGGGCUUAAAGGGCGCGUAGGCGGCCCCCCAAGUCCGGGGUGAAAUCCCACGGCUUAACCGUGGAACGGCCCGGGAUACUGGGGGGCUCGAGGGGGAGAGGGGCGUCUGGAACACUGGGUGGAGCGGUGAAAUGCGUUGAUAUCCAGUGGAACUCCGGUGGCGAAAGCGAGGCGCUGGAUCCCUUCUGACGCUGAGGCGCGAAAGCCAGGGGAGCGAACGGG